rnacentral:rRNA from 1 species
AGUGAACGCUGGCGGUAGGCCUAACACAUGCAAGUCGAACGGCAGCACAGGAGAGCUUGCUCUCUGGGUGGCGAGUGGCGGACGGGUGAGGAAUACAUCGGAAUCUACCUUUUCGUGGGGGAUAACGUAGGGAAACUUACGCUAAUACCACAUACGACCUUCGGGUGAAAGCAGGGGACCUUCGGGCCUUGCGGGGGGAGAUGAGCCGAUGUCGGAUUAGCUAGUUGGCGGGGUAAAGGCCCACGAAGGCGACGAUCCGUAGCUGGUCUGAGAGGAUGAUCAGCCACACUGGAACUGAGACACGGUCCAGACUCCUACGGGAGGCAGCAGUGGGGAAUAUUGGACAAUGGGCGCAAGCCUGAUCCAGCCAUACCGCGAGGGUGAAGAAGGCCUUCGGGCUGUAAAGCCCUUUUGUUGGGAAAGAAAAGCAGCCAGUUAAUACCUGGUUGUUCUGACGGUACCCAAAGAAUAAGCACCGGCUAACUUCGUGCCAGCCGCCGCCGUAA